UACGAAGGGGGCUAGCGUUGCUCGGAAUCAUUGGGCGUAAAGCGCACGUAGGCGGUUCGUUAUGUCGGAUGUGAAAGCCCUUGGCUUAACCGAGGAAGUGCAUCCGAAACUGGCGAGCUAGAGUACUAAAGAGGAUCGCGGAAUUCCCGGUGUAGAGGUGAAAUUCGUAGAUAUCAGGAGGAACACCGGUGGCGAAGGCGGGUCUCUGGGCCGAUACUGACACUGAGGAGCGAAAGCGUGGGGAGCGAACAGG
rnacentral:rRNA from 1 species